rnacentral:pre_miRNA from 1 species
GGGGGGUGCGCCGGAUCUUGAGCUGUAUCCCCAGCGCCCUGUGCUCCCUGGUCUGUGCUGUUGGAAUCGCGGUCCCGGCUGCACAGCUCCCU